UACGUAGGGUGCGAGCGUUAAUCGGAAUUACUGGGCGUAAAGCGUGCGCAGGCGGUUGUGCAAGACAGAUGUGAAAUCCCCGGGCUUAACCUGGGAACUGCAUUUGUGACUGCACGGCUAGAGUGUGUCAGAGGGGGGUAGAAUUCCACGUGUAGCAGUGAAAUGCGUAGAUAUGUGGAGGAAUACCGAUGGCGAAGGCAGCCCCCUGGGUCAAAACUGACGCUCAUGCACGAAAGCGUGGGGAGCAAACAGG
rnacentral:rRNA from 1 species